GUUUGAUCCUGGCUCAGGAUGAACGCUAGCGGCAGGCCUAAUACAUGCAAGUCGAACGCCCAGCAAUGGGAGUGGCGCACGGGUGCGUAACGCGUAUGUAACCUACCUUAUUGAGGGGGAUAGCCCGGAGAAAUUCGGAUUAAUACCGCAUAAGAUGGAAGACUGGCAUCAGUUUUUCAUGAAAGAUUUAUUGCGAUAAGAUGGACAUGCGUCUGAUUAGUUAGUUGGUGAGGUAACGGCUCACCAAGACGAUGAUCAGUAGGGGUUCUGAGAGGAAGGUCCCCCACACUGGCACUGAGAUACGGGCCAGACUCCUACGGGAGGCAGCAGUAGGGAAUAUUGGGCAAUGGAGGGAACUCUGACCCAGCCAUGCCGCGUGCAGGACGAAGGAGCUAUGCUCUGUAAACUGCUUUAGCAGGGGAAGAAAAGGCGUCUGCGGACGAGAUUGACGGUACCCUGAGAAUAAGCACCGGCUAACUACGUGCCAGCAGCCGCGGUAAUACGUAGGGUGCAAGCGUUGUCCGGAUUUAUUGGGUUUAAAGGGUGCGUAGGCGGCUUUAUAAGUCAGUGUUUAAAGCACAUAGCUCAACUAUGGAACUGGCAUUGAUACUGUAGAGCUUGAGUAGAAACGGGGCAGGCGGAAUUUAUGGUGUAGCGGUGAAAUGCAUAGAUACCAUAAAGAACACCGAUAGCGAAGGCAGCUUGCCAGGAUCUAACUGACGCUGAGGCACGAAAGCGUGGGGAUCAAACAGGAUUAGAUACCCUGGUAGUCCACGCCGUAAACGAUGAU
rnacentral:rRNA from 1 species